ensembl:Y_RNA Y_RNA Y RNA
GGCUGGUCUGAAGAUAGUGAUACCUCAAUUGAUUUUUCACAGUCAGUUGCUGAUCAAAUUCCUUGUCCUACUCUUUCUUUCUCAUACUGUACUUGACUAGACUUCA